rnacentral:lncRNA from 1 species
UGAGAACUGGCAGCACAAUGUGGAAAUCACUACAUUUCUAAAGGCAAGGCUCCAUGUGCAUAUAUUCUGGGCUGGGGAGAUGGAACCCAUUUGAGAAGAAACUAUUUCAGCAUCACAGAAAGCAAAGACAAUGAUGAUUAGGAACACCUUUUCCUCCUGACUGAACUGCGGGCAAGCCAUUUCCCACCCUGGCCUGCCCUUCAGAGAGAAAACCAGCCGAAUACGGUGGGGUGAAUCCGCAGUCCCAGUUAUUGAAAGUCUGAGGCAGGAGGAUCAUGAUUUCAUGGCCAACUUGGGCUCUAAAGGAAGAGAAGAAACCCAAGUUGGCACGUAGCCUACAGAGCUGGUCUCAGUGGACGCAUCUCAGUUCUAUCUUCUAGCCUAGACGGAUGAGCAGACAUGACUCAAAAUAUCUUUAAAGCAUUGUUUGAAAUCUUGUUAAUAUAAUUCUUCUCACAUCAUGCAUACAAAAUAAAUUUCUUUGCACACAUGGGGUAGAUGUCACUCUUAGGUCCAGGAAGCUCAGAAGUGCCAAUGGACUCCCACCUGGCAGAGGCAUCUCUGCAGACAUAGUCUUGGGCUCUGUUUCUGCCAUGUUCAUAGGCCAAGUCUGUCUGAAGAAGCCAGAGUUUCCUAUGUAGACUUUCCCCCCUCCUUUAAAUAAGUAUUUUUCCAAGCGUGGAAUUCAGAGGAGAGGUCACUUUUCUGCCUGGGAAUCUAUCUGCUUUCUUUUUAUGGUCAUUUCUAUAUUGAGAAGGUCCCAGGUCCAGUCAGUCAUGAAGGAUCCUGGUAACGUUUCCCCGAGCAAUUACCCCCAUAGUCACUUGCUAGUUAUCACCUCGACUGUCCUUCAGAGACUACAUUCUUCCAGCUCUCUUCAACCACUGGUAAUUCUUCAACCC